AGAUACAUCAGAACAUCAUGAACACGGAUAUGAGAUUUGCCCUGGGAUUUCUUUUAACAUCUAUCACAGCCGCACAUAUAAACAAAGGUACUUACAGUUCGCUGAGCGUUACAGAACUGGUAGCGGAAUACGUUGCGCAACGCAACAUAUCUUUGCGAGGAAGAAUUGCCGAUUUUGGACUUACAAGCGAUUACAGAUAUUGGAAGGACACUAAACCAACCCCAACGAUGCCUCCAGUUUCGGGAGAAGAGGAUUGGAUCAAUUACACGAUACCAAUAGAAUACCUUCACACUAAAGAAAAACGUUGCAUUGGAAUUUUCACAUGGUUAUUUUACAGAGACGUAUGUGCUCCAUUUCACAUUUUUCUCAACACCACAGUUCCUGUAGCCCUGUCUGGACUGCUACGUAGGCGCGUUGUAUUCGACCUAAGUAACAAAACAAUGGAGACGGUAAUGGAAAGGUGGGGGCGCAACCAAUCAGUUAUAAUCAAUCAAAGGACACACAUGAGGGUAAGUGGCCUUUUGCUUCGGUGCAUAGACACCACACACAUGGUUAACAGGUACUCGUCACCAUUAUUUCUUAUUACAAACAGAGCAUCAAAGCCAUCAUACC